UCUCCGUAGGUGAACCUGCGGAGGGAUCAUUACAAGUGACCCCGGUCUAACCACCGGGAUGUUCAUAACCCUUUGUUGUCCGACUCUGUUGCCUCCGGGGCGACCCUGCCUUCGGGCGGGGGCUCCGGGUGGACACUUCAAACUCUUGCGUAACUUUGCAGUCUGAGUAAACUUAAUUAAUAAAUUAAAACUUUAAACAACGGAUCUCUUGGUUCUG
rnacentral:misc_RNA from 1 species